rnacentral:misc_RNA from 1 species
AUCUCUUCUGUGUUUAUCCCCCGCCAUCCUUGCAUGGGACACUUGUCUUUCUCUCCCUCGCCCGUCACGGACGUAGUUAGUUGUUUUGUGGUAAGGGGUGGGUGGGCGAGUGGGGAGUGGAGCUGGUCACACGCAGAGGCCUCAACGAGGACGAUCGGCUACUCUUCUUGUGUCUUCUCCCGGCUCUUGUUUCGUUAAAUUUCAGCUUUGGGAUCCACUCGAGCGCGCGCGCGUGCCGCUCUCUCUAUCCUCGUCUCUGUUGAUGUCUUUGUGACUCGAAAAACGUUCCGCUACGUGUUUGCCGCCUCCCCUCUUCGAACCGUCUCUCAGGCAACUCACUAGGCAGAGACACGCGCCCAUCAAUCUCCUCGCUACCCGUAGACGAACACACACGUGCGCAUGUGCACAUAGAGGGCGCCUUUUUCACGUAAACGCACGUGCUCUGGCGCAACUCUGUCUUUCUCUCCCCCCAAACGUUGUUAGUUGCCCUCACACUAUUGCGGCUUCUCCCUUUCUAACUACGACGAUGAGCAUACACAAGGGCUUCCUAUACCCACAUCCCGCGUCCUUGACUUGCCACGCUACUUUUCGUGCGCUUGGGGGAUCGGCCUGACUUUAUUGUCGGUUCGUUCGGUUCUUGGUUGGUUGGCACUUGAGCAACGUCGCUUGCUUGUUUGUAGGUGUUUGCAGGUGUACGUGUCUGUGGCUGAGGUGUGGCCCUCUCCCCAUUUUGUUCUUUUAGGUGUUUCGAUUUCUUCCCCCGACUUUUACAUUUUCUGCCAUCCUCCUUCUUCCCCUCCCCCGUCUCCUUUCAUUCUGAUCCGCUUCAUCGGGGCCCUCAGUUGCUGGUUCGAUACGUGUCUCGCCUUUGCGCGUGCGCGUGUGUGUGUCUUCCGUCUUGUCUUUUGCCUCCUUCUCUUCGUUUUUUUUUCUCUUUCUGCUAGCCGCAGAUGCAUGAGCCUCGAGCGCCCAACGCACACACCCGCGCCGCAUCGCCGCCCCCGGCGAGUCCUCAUCCCCUUCCUCUUCUGCCAGCCGUCUUUACCGCCCAGCAGGCGGAGGAGAGUGUCGAGCUCAUUCAGCGGGAGCUCUCGCGACUUUUGCGGGCGUGCGAGUACAGGGAGCAGCACCCUUACAACGUCUUCAAGGGGAGAGGGGAUAGCAGCCGCGGUGCAGCAACGCCCCGCAGUACCGGCAGCAGCAACGGCACCUCUUCGCGGUCCGCGUCGGCGUUGGCAUCGCAUAGACGUGACCCAACGGCGUCCUUGCUGUCGGACGCAGACCCAUCGCUCCAGCUGGCCCAGCCCACCACUGCUUUCUCCUCUUUCCCACUCGGUCCUCAUGGCAGUGAUGCCGCCGAAGCAGCGUUCUUCUCCGUUGCCGGGACUAGUGCAGCGGCGAACGCCGCACCCGCGGUGGCGAAUCUCAGCGGUGCUUCUUUCUCCGCCUUCGAAAGGCGCCGUAUCGCACAUCUCCUGGGUCGUGUGGCGCUAGAGAUCGCCGCUGUCUGGACGUACGUCCGUCGAAACGAGCCGCUUUGCGGGACCUCACCAGGGGACCCCACCGCGCCAGUCUCGUCUGUCCGAACAACACACGGGACAGCGCGGCCGUCGAGUGACCGCAGCACGGCCGCCCCGGCAGCGUCGCCGCUAGCUCCGGCGUCUUUGAACGCUGACGGCGGCGAUGGGCGUGCCGCAAUGACAGUCAAAGUCACAAGCGAGGAACCUGGAGCCCCGACACCUGCGGUGCUGCAGAACUCUGUGUUGGGUGAGGCAACCGAGGAGCGGCAAGACGCAUGUGACGGCGAUCCUGUACCGCAGAUUACAGCCCUGAGUGCACUGAUUGAGGCUGCUGCUGCUAUCCAACGCGCUCUUGAGAUGGCGGAUGGCGGCGGUGGGGUUGAUCACGCUGCCUCAGCAGAACGUGCCGGUGCAGCAGCAGCAUGCAGUGUGAGCGCGAACACGCUUCUGGGGGCUGCUCAAGCAGCAGCGCUAACAUUCAGCAGUUUCCCCCUUGACGGCGUCAGGGCACCCACUCAGGAAGCUGCGGGCGUCGGUGUUGGUAAGCAGUCUUGCCGCGGCUCCGCCGUCGUUGAUACGUCUUCUGAUGUCGCGGGGGCAUCGCAAGCCCCGCCGUCAGCCCUCACCGGAGGUCGGACCUCCGCACGAGAGGCUGCUGAGCAGCACAGCGGAGAAGGCGAGUCGAAACCGCUCGCAAUGCCUAACGCUACCGUUGCGCGGCAGGCUCCCAGCGGUAGCAGCCCAGUGAAGCGGGGCAGCACUGCAUCAUCUUCCAUUCCUUCCUACCUGCGCGCCUAUGUAUUCGAGGAGGGUGCUGACGGCUGCGCUGACGAGAUGGACAACUUCGGUGAGGGGAACGGCGUUAGUGGCAACCAAGGGGCCAGGGCGGUGCUGGCGAAUGCAGACAAGAGCGUGUCUCGUUCCAUCAGUGUAGGUAGUGCCAAUGCUCGUUCCCUUUCGCGAGCCAGUGAACUGCCUGCCACCUCGCACGACGACGGCUAUAAGACACGGCCGUCCUCAGCUCGCUCUGCCGUGGAGCACCCUGCCCGAGCAAGCCACCUCAGUCCCGCGGCGACCGUCACCAGGCCAAGCUUACUGGGCUCAGCAGGUGUCUCUCUCACCGCACCAACACACGCCGGUGGCAGUGGAGGCGGGGCCACGCUAGUGGCCGCUCUCGUGGACGCCGAUCCAGUCUCCCACAGCUCGUCGCUGCGCAUUCAACGCGCCCUCUCGGCCUUGUCUUUGCAGUCCGCCUCCUUCGUGAGCUCGCCGCUGCAGGAGCCGCAGCUCAGCACGCAGCAAUCGCAGGUGUGCAGUGGUGGGAGUGCAAGCAGCCAUCCGAACGCAAGCGUCUCGCAGCGGUCACCAGACUCGGCGGAGAUGUCGUCGGCUGCGGCGGCCGCCUACUUGCGCAGCACGAGCCUGUUUCGCCGACCACACCGGCUAGAAGUCCCGGUGAGCCGGACGCAGUCACUGCGCCGCGCGACGUCGAUUUCGUCCCCGAUGUCGGUGGAAGGGAUCAGUCUCGGGUCUGCCCCUGGGGCGGUGUACUACAACGGCAUGCCGGCGAUGGCCUCCGGCGCGUGUGACAACUCCUCCGCUGCAUCGUUUCACAUGACGAAGAGCAACAGUGGUCUGCAGCUCAGCAGCGGCGGCGUUGGCAUCUUACGAACGUCGUCGGGCUUUAACAGCUUUCUUCCAGUGGCGAUGGGUGCCAGCACCACUGUGGACUCUCUACACUCGUCGGUUGCAGGGCUGCAUUUCAAGCGGGUCAUCUCAGUCGACUCUGAGGGUGAGUUGUGGCGGCAGGGCUCGCUUGCCGACUCCUUGGAGAUGAGUCCGCAAAAGGUGACGCCUCUUCUGGGGCGACCAUCGGCGUCCGCCAUGGAGGCGACUCUCUCCUCAUCCCCGCUGUCGCAAGACGCGGGACUGGCGACCGCCACAGGAAGCCACAGCGAUCGUCACGGCGCUUUGAAGUCGCCAUUGGAGGGCCAGUCUGGGGGAGUGGUGCCCGUCGCCACAUCUUUGUCGGGCCACCGCAGCUCCGCGCUGCCGCCAGGGAGGACGGAGCUCUCGCGCAACCGCAAUGCGCUAAGCCGCCGCGGCACACCGAAACCGACUGUUUCGAGUGCUUCAGCGGUGGCGGUGCCGUCUGCCGUGCUCGGCAGCUCGUCCUCUCAGCAGCGUCCAGUCGCUCUCUUGUCCCCCGUGCACUUCAGCUCGUCUCCUCAAAGACGCACUCACCGCUCUGUGGCAGUGCCUACAGUCUUCGCGCCGGCACCGGGCGCCGCUGGCGGUGGUUUAGCAGCUGACGGGCUCACGCCGUGCUUGUACCACGUAGAAGAUGAGAUCCUCAAAGAAUUUCUGCGCUGCGUGCACGACCUCACGCGGACCAGCCUCACAGAUGCCGAGUUCGACUCCCUUAAACUCUGCUACUUCCUCCCUGGUGUGUCGCUGGUGACAUCGACGGGCACAGCUCGGCCACCGUCGUCUUCGCCGCCGCCCACCGCACCGCCGUUGCCUCUGUUCGAGGGGGGUGAGCUGGUGCCUCUGCACCGCGGCAGCCUUGAUGUGUUUUGUUCUCUUAUUCGAGAGCGAUUGGUGGCGGUGUGCCGCAGUCUCCGCAUUUCUACCGCCCCUUACUUGGCACUGCUGUAAGCUAAGCUACAGCCCACAAGGAUACCUCUCUCUCUACAUAUAGAGAUGUAAGUAUGAGGCAAGAGGGGAUGGGGAGCAAAGACGCCCUCUGGCGUGGCGUGCGCUUAUCCGCGCAGAACUCGAGUAACGCCAUCAUACUUACAAGCACAUUUCCUCGACUCUACAGCUAUGCCGACUACAGUGCUCUGUAUGCGUGGCAGCUGCAAUCGCAGCAGCAAGGACACACGAGGCAUGGCGCAUACAUGCGGUUUGCGCGUCUGCGGGCCGCUUGACACUCUCUCUAUGGAUGCUCAUAUCGCACCUACCACUGCAUGUACGCCAAUGCUCUUUCAGUUCUGGCGAGGCCGCACAUUCAUUGCACCAUCUACCGCCGAGCGGGAGAGAAGAAUGGGACAGUAGCGCUGCGACAGACGGAAGCACACGGAGAGAGGAGUGUCUCUCCCUCCUCUCUCCGUCUCUGUUCAAAGUCGCUGUAGCUCCAUCGUCUCUCUCCCCUCCUCUGACUGAAGAGCAGCGCGUACGCUUUCACUUUUACAGCUGCGUCUCUGCGUACUAGUGGGUGUUUCCAUCUUUUUCAUUUCUUUUACUUCGCUGCCCGAGAGCCGCUCGUGGUCAUCAGCGGCUCGCCCUGUACCUCAGCGAGUCCUCCCUUCCCUUUUCUCGCCCACGGGCAGCUUACCCGAGCACGCACAGGAGCAGAAGGCACACGCUUCCUCAACAGCAGUGCUCUCACCCGAUGCUGCGAAGCAGACUCGUCUUUACAGCCAGCACAUGAAUCCGUUACUUACCCGCGUCG